UAGCUGCCGCAAUCCGACCAAUGCAGGCAACAUGGACUUUCCUUUUUUUGCUUGAAAGGGCGAGGAUUUCCGUCCAAUUGCUGUGCUGCUGGCCCUUUCCCUGACGUAUAUAUAACGUAUAUAUCUAAGUUGUGAGUUGCGUUAUGUGCUGGCCAAGCGGAGAAGCUCCUCUGCGCGCUAAUUUAUGUGUUUGCCUUGAUUUCGCUUCUCCCUCUGUCUAUUUUUCUUGUUCUUAUUCUUCUUUUUAUAGUGUUCAUCUUCUUCAUCGACCCCUCUAUUGCCACUCUAUCGUCACCUUCCAUUUUGUUUUAUUUGACGUCAUUCACCGCAGUUUGCUGGCGUGUGGGAAAUCUCCUUCUUUGCUUUCUGUUUGAUUUUUCUUCCACGGUUUGGCGACCCCAGCCAACAGAAGAGGUACAUGCAGUACGUUGUUCCUCGUCAGAUGUGGCCGUUGCUUCUUCGGCUUUCGUUCUGCUGCCAGACGGACCCGACUUGGCUUGUCCACUGAUUGCGCUCAAUUGCCUGCGCUCCCUCAUUUCCGACAGUCUUUCCUUGUUUGGGCACAAACGGACCAACGUCACCUUUCCACGAUGAGAAUAUAAGUCCAGCAGAUGAAAUAUAUCUCGUCCGCCCUCCCCGCAUGUCUGCAAUUUGCAUACAAGAGAGGCGAAUGUCCUUCGCUCCUAUACCGGAUGGUUUUUUUUAGAGCCAAGUACAAACGAAUCUCGCCAUCUUUUAUUUGUUAACCCCAUUUUUGUUUUUUUUUUUUUGAAUUUCUUUUCUUUCUGAAAUAGUUUCCCAUCUGAUGGUUACAUUUAUAUCGUUAAAACAAUUACGUGCACUUCAUUUCUGGUGAGAAUUAUCUACUGCUUCUAUUUUUAACGUUUUUAACGAUCCAUUGAACGUGGGCUACUUACGAAAGAGACAACAACAAAAAUAGAAAAAGGGGCAACAAAAGACAAACCAGAAA